GCCGGAUCUACCAGGGCCGUACAGCGCGGUGUACGAAGCUUCUUGUUAACGUAGGCGCGUGACAGGCUCCUUGACUCAACUGGGAGAGGACCGUUCUAAACUGCAGAACUAGAGGAUGGUAGAGUGAGGUGGUAAUUACCAGAUGUAGCGGUGGAAUGACGCAGAUAUCUGGAGGCACACCCAGUGGCGAAAGCGGCUUCAUGGAUCCAUUCCUGACACUCAGACGCGAAAGCUAGGGUAGCAAACGGGAUUAGAGACCCCGGUAGUCCUAGCCCUAAACGAUGUAGACUAGACGUCGGUGGUGUAAUAGCUGUCGGUGUGCCAAGCUAACGCGAUAAGUCUACCGCCUUGGGGACUACGGCCGCAAGGUUAAAACUCAAAGGAAUUGACGGGUCCCCGCACAAGCAGCGGAGCGUGUGGUUUAAUUCGUCGCUACACGAAGAACCUUACCUGGGUUUGACAUAGCAGUGGUAGGGAAGAGAAAUCGGACCGACCCUUCGGGGAGCUGUUACAGGUGUUGCAUGGCUGUCGUCAGCUCGUGUCGUGAGAUGUUCGGUUAAGUCCGCUAACGAGCGCAACCCGCGUUGUGUGUUAUAUGUGUCACACAAUACCGCCGGUAUUAAGCCGGAGGAAGGUGCGGAUGACGUCAAGUCAGCAUGACCUUUAUAUCCAGGGCUACACGCACCGCUCCAAUGGACAGUACAACACGUUGUCAAGCCGCGAGGCGGAGCCAAUCCUCUAAAGCUGUCCUCAGUUCAGAUUGCAGGCUGCAACUCUCCUGCAUGAAGUUGGAGUUGCUAGUAACCGCAGGUCAGC
rnacentral:rRNA from 1 species